rnacentral:rRNA from 1 species
ACUGAAUAGAUACCCUGGUAGUCCACGCCGUAAACGAUGGAUGCUAGCUGUUAUAGGUAUCGACCCCUGUAGUAGCGAAAGCUAACGCGUUAAGCAUCCCGCCUGUGGAGUACGGUCGCAAGACUAAAACAUAAAGGAAUUGACGGGGACCCGCACAAGCGGUGGAGCGUGUUGUUUAAUUCGAUGGUAAACGAAGAACCUUACCCAGGUUUGACAUCCUUGGAAUUUCUCCGAAAGGAGAGAGUGCUUUAUUGAGCCAAGUGACAGGUGAUGCAUGGCCGUCGUCAGCUCGUGUCGUGAGAUGUUUGGUUAAGUCCAUCAACGAGCGCAACCCUUGUGAUUAGUUGAAUUUUUCUAAUCAGACUGCCCUGGUAACAGGGAGGAAGGAGGGGAUGAUGUCAGGUCAGUAUUUCCCUUACAUCUGGGGCUACAAACACGCUACAAUGGCCGGUACAAAGGGCAGCCAAGUCGCGAGACGGAGCAAAUCCCAUCAAAGCCGGUCUCAGUUCGGAUUGCAGGCUGAAACUCG